GGCAUGCAGGAUGGCUCAGUGGACCGGCAGGGGCGCUGGGGGGGCAGGGGACCACACGCAGACGGCUCGCCAUACCGGCAGAGGUACAGUGGGACAAGGGGCGGCACCCAGACAGCUCGCCAUACCGG